rnacentral:sRNA from 1 species
AGAUCUUCUCCAUCAACAUCUGAAUGAACAUCAUGCUUCAAAGAAGCUUCAAGCUUCAUACACGAUGUCCUUAACUCAUCAUCUUCUGCUACCUUCAAUCUCUUUACACCAAACAAAAAUCCAAAUAUUU